AAGGAUUUAAGUUAAACAAACUAAUAACCUUCAAAGUUGUAAAUAGAAAUAAAUCUAAGCCUUA
rnacentral:tRNA from 1 species